AAUACAAAUAAAAUAAAUUAAAAAAAGAAAAGUUAAGAGACUUGGGAUUAACUUAAUUUACUCAUUAAAGAUAAGGUUUUUCUUCCAUCCUCGGUCAUUCCUGCCUUCAGGGACGUGGUGCCUAUUGUCCUCGCCAAGACCUUUUAUCUGCCGCGAAAUAAUAUAGGAUGGAGCGAGAACUGAACAUUGGAAAUGAAGUUGGACGGCCAGUGAACCAGGAAGUUGCAAAAUGUAGGGGUG
rnacentral:misc_RNA from 1 species